rnacentral:lncRNA from 1 species
AGAAGAAAAGAAGAAAAAUGAAAGAAUAAGAGAAGGAGAAGCCAAGGUCUACCAUUCUCAACAGAAGAAAGGAGAAAAUUUGGAGAAAGAGAGGCAGAGAUCAUCAGCGUACCAUCGAAGGAAGGGUGAUUCGCGGCCAAUUGGUACCAAAAAUCGCAAAAACCCGUCAGGUUUCCCAGCGACCUACAACCCCAACAUGUGAUUAAACCAACACAUUUCUGAGU